AGUGAACGCUGGCGGUAGGCCUAACACAUGCAAGUCGAACGGCAGCACAGUAAGAGCUUGCUCUUACGGGUGGCGAGUGGCGGACGGGUGAGGAAUACAUCGGAAUCUACUUUUUCGUGGGGGAUAACGUAGGGAAACUUACGCUAAUACCGCAUACGACCUACGGGUGAAAGCAGGGGAUCUUCGGACCUUGCGCGAUUGAAUGAGCCGAUGUCGGAUUAGCUAGUUGGCGGGGUAAAGGCCCACCAAGGCGACGCUCCGUAGCUGGUCUGAGAGGAUGAUCAGCCACACUGGAACUGAGACACGGUCCAGACUCCUACGGGAGGCAGCAGUGGGGAAUAUUGGACAAUGGGCGCAAGCCUGAGCCAGCCAUACCGCGUGGGUGAAGAAGGCCUUCGGGUUGUAAAGCCCUUUUGUUGGGAAAGAAAAGCAGCAGGUUAAUACCCCGCUGUUCUGACGGUACCCAAAGAAUAAGCACCGGCUAACUUCGU
rnacentral:rRNA from 1 species